GCAAAAUUGGAACCUUUUAAAAUAAAGUGUGAAUAGCAUGGAGCAUGAAGCAUGCAGCGGGAAAUGGCGUCAACAUUCUCCUGCUUUUGAUUCACUUUCUCUCUUGCCUAUAUUCGUUGACGCCAUUGUUGAUUUCCUAUUUUCCGAAAGCAGGCAGGGAAUAAAGGUGAACUGGGAUUUUCUUGUAUGUGAAUCAGUGUGCACUACACCAUUCAAAAUGGCCACUCCCGAGAUUGAAACUCAUCACAGAUUUUUCAGAAACAGCAUUUAUUCUUCUUUUCCCCAAUUCUUCGAGGAAAUAUCUGCUAUACUGAGUCGUGGCUCAAUUUCUUUCGGAAGAUAUGCUGAUGAUUCAAUUGCCUGGGAGAAAAGGUCAGUUUUUACUUACAAUAGAUGUGAAGAGGAACUUCAGAAGUUCCAGGCCCCAGGAUUCGUUGCUCAAAAGACGGCCUAUUUUAAUGAAUUCUACAAAAGAGUUGGAGUUGUGGAAGCAUUACCAGCUCAUCAGCAAAAUACCAGGCAAUAUGGUCCAAGUCAAGAGACACAAGAGAAUUCGAAACUAAGAGGAAUUGGUUUUAAUGAUGCUGUUGCAGAAAAGGAAGAUAAACCGAGCAAUGCUAGUCAAAUUCAGAUUUCAGACAGCCAAGGCAUUUCAAACAAUAUGGAACCAUGUUGCCAAGAAGUAAAAAAUUGCUCUACUGAAAAUAAUGAUGCUACCAUAGAGGAAGGAAUGAAAGUCUGUAGAAAUACUGUUGAAGUGGAAAAUUAUUUUGAAGAGGCUUCUGUCUCUCAUCCUCCACUGUCUGAGGGAAAUCCAAAAUGUGCCCAGCGAAAAAGCAUUGCCUCUAGCAAAGUGAAGCAAAUUUUUAACAAAACGAUAAAGCAUGGCAAUAAAGUGAAGGAUAAGGGAACUGUUGCUUCUGCUAUUACAAACAAAGCAAAGGUGUGCAGCAUAACUACUAAAGUUGCUGUUAUGAAAUCUAAGCCAAAUCCUUCUCUUCGUCAGCAAGCUAGUGUCAAGGUCAAUAAAAGUGUCCCUUCAACGAUAGAAAGUACCCCUAAUGCAGUAAGAAAUAUUAGCAGACAAACUACUGAACCACACUCUAGCUUACCUAGAUUGUCUGGACUAUCGAUAAUUGUCCCUUCAAUGAAACAAAGUACCCCAAAUGCUGUAAGAAAUAUUAGCAGACAAACUACUGAACCACACUCUAGGUUGCCUAGAUUGUCCAGACUAUCAAAAAGUGCCCCCUCAAUGAAAGAAAGUACUCAAAAUACUGAAAGAAAUAUUAGCGGACAAACUAUUAAACCUCAUAGCUUACCUAGACUAUCUGGACUAUCGAAAAGCGUCUCUUCAACAAAAGAAAGUACCCAAAAUGCUGUUCGAGAUAUUUGCAGACAAACUACCGAACCGCGCUCUAGCUUACCUAGAUUGUCUGGACUAUCGAAAACUGUCUAUUCAAUGAAAGAAAGUACCCCAAAUGCUGUAAGAAAUAUUAGCAGACAAACUACUGAACGGCACUUUAGCUUACCUAGAUCGUCCAAACUAUUGAUAAGUGUCCCUUCAAUUAAAGAAAGUACCCAAAAUGCUGUAAGAAAUAUGAGCAGACAAACUACUGAAAGGCACUUUAGCUUACCUAGGUUGUCCAAACUAUUGAAAAGUGUCCCUUCAAUGAAAGAAAGUACCCAAAAUGCUGUAAGAAAUAUAAGCAGACAAACUACUGAAAGGCACUCUAGCUUACCUAGAUCGUCCAAACUAUUGAGAAGGGCCCCUUCAAUGAAAGAAAGUACCCCAAAUGCUGUAAGGAAUAUUACCAGACAAACUACUAAACGGGACUCUAGCUUACCUAGACCAUCCAGACUAUCGAAAAGUGUCCCUUCAAUGAAAGAAAGUACCCCAGAUGCUGUAAGAAAUAUUAGCGGACAAACUAUUGAACCACAAGCUUACGUAGAUUGUCCAGACUACCGAAAAGUGGUAGCCUGGUGUCAUCUAGCACCGGCAUUAGAAAAGCUGAAGCCAAGCCAUGUUCAGAAAGAACCAAACAAGAAUCAAAGUUGUCAGUGCAAAUUCCCAGCGCUCAAGUAACCAGGCUGGUUUCAUCUGCUUUUAGCUCCAUCAUCAGAAAAGCUAAAGCCAACCCAAGUUCAAAUUUACAACGGUCAAGAAACAAACUAGAAACUAGGUCUAAGAGCGCUUCCUAAAACAUUGUCCUGACCGAUGGGCCUAGAAAACUGGCACAUUGCACAAGUGGAGAGGCAUGAGGGAGCUAUCUAUUAAAGAGGAGGAAGAAAAAGAAAGCUUUUCAUACCUAGCCAUCAAUAACCAUGAGUUACUUUUUGAUUUUUUGAUUAUUUCUAUGAGUUACUUUUUGGCUAAGCUAAGACUCAUUUUGAAUUCUAUCCAUGAUAUUUUUAAUUUAUUUGGCUAAAGAAUAAAUAGUAUUAAUAUUAUAUGUAAUUUUAUUUCAGAUGAAAUUGUAGAAAUAAUUGACAAGCUUCUAAUGAAUUGCUUACAACAUGAAAUGGAACUAUUUUAACAUGUCUGGUUCUGUGUAUGGAUGAUACUGCAAGAAACCUCAUGUUUUUUUAUUAGAAUAUACAUUUUAGCCAUUGAAGCUAUGUUGGAUCAUCUUUAGUAUCAAAAACAUUGUGCUAGAUUAAGCUAGUCAAACUUCGAUUAAUUGAAAGAGUUAAUCAAAAUACCACUGUGUAUAUGUUUGCCUCGAAGGGACAAGGUUCAAGCUUGACUUAGAAGAGAUGCAAAACACUCCUCAACCCACUUGUCUAGUAUUAACAGAGCUUUCAGUCCAAUAGCAUGUUGACAAGAUUGUACCUCUGGAGUCUGCAAAUUCAAGUGUGAUGGAGCAGCCCAAGGGGGUGGGAAAUUUGUUUCAGGGUAAUCUGUUAUUGCAUUUAUAUCACUUAUAUCAUCAAUCAUGUUUGUG